GUGGAUAUAGUUCAGUUGGUAGAGUGCUUGCCUAGAAUGCACAAGGUCCUGGGUUCAAUUCCCAGUACCAUG
rnacentral:tRNA from 1 species